ACAGACGGACAACCCGAUUCCAGUAUACCCCCCCCCCCCCUAAUUAAUUACCUAAUGAGCUUUUAUGGAUUAUCCUGCUACUGUUACAAUAUUUACCAUCUAUGCUGAAUAAAGAUUUUUAAGUCACCAAGUUUACUCAAGUAAUUGCAUUGAAUUUAAUGCAAUUAAACUUAACUGUGUUAAGAAUUGAACAUGUUUAAUUUCCUCUCGAUAACUACCUCGGCACCAUUCCAAUUCUUUUCAAAUAAAGUUUGAUAUGAAACAUCUUUGGGACAAAAGGGACAUAAAUUGUAAAAUUCAGGACUCCUGCACCACUGGGGCCCUAGGGGCAGGGCAAAAACUGCCCAAAAUUGACCAAUUUUCAAAAAUCUUCUUCUCUAGAACUGCACAUCUUUAAGAAAAACUAAAUCCAUAGUGAUGUAGAGCAGAAAUUAAGGCAUCCGCAAAAAAUUUUAAUUUCAUGAUCCCCAGGGUAGAUUCUGACCCCAGGGCGGGGCUAAACUUACUACAUGUAUAUAGUGUUCAUGUGUAAAACACUUAAAUAACAUCUUCUUUAAUGCUAUUGAUACUAAAUUGAAACUAAAUGGAUAUCGAUAGUCCUUUACCAAAAUAGUAAAUUUUAUGAUCCCAGGGGUAGGGGUUUUGGUAUUAGGGUGAGGCCAAAAUGGUCAGUUAUCAUAUGUGUGAACAAUUUUAAAAUAGACAUUUUUAACUUCUUCUUGAUAACUAUCAUUCCAAUUCUUUUCAAAUUUGGUGUGGAGCAUCUUUGGGACACUGGGAGACAGUAUGUGUACCAAUUUAUUGAUGAGCUGGACAAAAACCAUAGAACAGAUGACCAGGGAAGUGUCACAGAGGGCAGAAUGUACGAGCUACCUGCAGGAAAUAGCAACUGCCCGGUUCUGUCCUUCCAGAAGUACCUAAGCAAACUCCACCCUGACAGAAAUGACUUAUGGCAGAUCGAUCUAGAGACCGAGGGAUGUUUUCAACCAGAAGAAUGAAGUCUGGUAUUUGAAAUCUGCAGUAGGAAAGAAUGCACUUUCUAACUUCAUGACAGAUAUUUCCAAAUUAGUAAAACUUUCUCGUGAGUACAUGACCAUUCAGUGAGGGCCACUAGUAUUACUGUCAUGGAUGUUGGUGGAAUAAAUGGGCUUCAUAUCAUGAAGGUAUCAGGCCAUAAGUCUUCCUUGAAAUCCUAUUCUCACUUUGUAAGUGACCAAAAAAAGAGGGAAAUAUCGGACACUUUAAACUCUGCAUUAGGUCAUCAGAGAGAUCAAAUGGAAUUAGGUGAUUUGUCGGAUGUUUUUAAAGAUGACUUGAACUGGAACCAUUAGAUGUCACUUGUACUGGAGAUAUGCAGAUCAUCCUCUGCGAGGUCGAUCGAAACCAGGUUAACACUCGAAAUCAAUAUUCCAGGGGAUUCCUUAAUUUCAGACCAAAUUUCUCUGAUAAUUGUAACAUUACCAUAACAUUAAUUUUCAGAAAUGAUCAUAGUUAUGCAAUGUUAAUUGUUAUCUAUCUAUGAUUCUGCAUGGUUUGAUUGUUGCUACAAAAUAAAUAUGAAUUAAAGUGUUCUUUGACAAUUUGUUAUCUUACAGAAUGCUAGCUACUAUUACAAAUCUACA